rnacentral:tRNA from 4 species
GCCGGCAUAGCUCAGGGGCAGAGCAACUGUCUUGUAAACAGUAGGUCCUCGGUUCGAUUCCGAGUGCCGGCUCCA